rnacentral:tRNA from 1 species
CACUGGAUAGCUCAGUCGGGUAGAGCAACGACCUGAUAAGUCGUCUGUCGCGGGUUCGACUCCCGCUCCAAGCAACCA